UCCGCCAUUGUUUUUCGAUACGUUUGGUGCUGACGCUGAGUGCUCAUCACUCAUUGCUCAUGCCCAGCCCAUCGUUCAUGCCCAUGCGUUUAUGUGUAGGCCUACCUGCUUUAACGUUUCGUCACUCGCAGAAUUAAGGAUUAACAGCCAGGUGAAGUUUGAGCUUCUUCGUUGCAGUCUAAUGUGCACCUUAAGCUGUUGCAUGCAGUCUUUGGUGGCAGUGUUAUCCUGAAGUGUGAAAGAGCUCCAUGCUUCAUGUUUUAUGGAAUCAAUCAUGUCUGAAUCAAUGCUGGACUUGCAAGAACCAGUCACACCUGUCAAAUACGCCCACCUGUGGUUUGAGAUCCCCAAACAACUUUUAGUCUCCAAGUCAGUUCGCCCAUGUCCAUCUAGAAUCAAAUUCUCUUCAAUCUGGCCGUCAUUAUCAACUUUAUUGUUGGCGUUAUUUACCCGUUCGACACUGACAGAUCGGCUCCUGAUUCUGGCACUCACUUCUUAGGUUCAUCUGGGCAUCUCAUGCUCCUUUCGGCGGCAGUGGCCUUUACGUAACCUAAACCGUCGUAUAUCAGAGUUCUCAUCAUGAAAGUUAUCCUUCUACUUACUUGCUUUGCUGCGGCUUUGCUGGCCCCCAACCUACAUUGAUACUCCUUGGCACCGCCACGGUAGUGUUGAUGGGCCUCCAUCUUCUGAACAUCAUAGGGAGCACUCACCGGAACAUUCUAACUGAACGUGAGGCAAAUCGGCAUGGACACAGAGAUCGUCGUUUACCUCAUUUUUUGUUUCCUUGCACUCGGCACCCUUCCGUCCUUCGAUUCGCGUCAGGAGAAUUACGGAUUCAUCUCAAACUCGUCUACCGAUUUCGGAAAGAGCUCUGCUAUGACCCAACGAUCAUCUAGUCCACUGUGCCAACCGCUGCUUCGUUGGUGCUUGACUGCUUGGUUGGUUCUAAGCCAGGUGAAGUCUGGGUUUCUUUGUUGCAGUACAUGGAUUUGUUGCAGUCAUCCAGUGAAAUGUGUGAAUAAAUUGAGCUGUUGCAUGCAGUCUUUGGUUCUGAUGUUGUCCUGGAGUGUGGGAGAGUUCCAUGCUUCAAGUCUUAUUGGAUAAGCCAUAUCUGAGUUGACGCUGUAUCAUGCUGUGUUGUGGUUGCCGAAAUGUUGGACAUCUAGUAGAACUGCAAGAAGCCUUCUUGAAAUGGUUAGUGAUGUUGCUUUCCAAUAUGGCAUGUUGUUGCAGCCUACAUUGGUGAAAGAAUUUUUGCAUCGAGUUAUACUGUUGCUGUUCCUUGGUGCCGGACUGCUGGUGUUGUGCACAAAAGUUACAUCCAGUUUUAAUUGUUA